rnacentral:lncRNA from 1 species
GCUUGGGCCACACUGGAGGAGGAGAUAGCAAUGCUCUCCCCAAAAGAAGAGCCAGACAAAACAAAUGUGAUGGUUGGACCAGGUACUGCCUCUUACUACUGGCUUUCACACAACUUACAGCUGACUUAUAGUUCAAAUGGCAGUGUCUUUUGCACCUGCUUCCAUCCUCAGACCCGAAGCCUUACCCAUGGUGGCCACGAAAAUGUUGGAUGCGAUAGUGAGCCUGUGGGUCCAGAAAGAAGCAAGAGCUGUACACCAUGGGAUCCCCUUGGCAAAGUUGACCCUGAGGACACAUGGGGGGGGGGGCAGCUGCCCCACUGUCUUGAUGGCCCUUGUGUUCUAAAAUGGCAUCUAUGAUUUUCUGUCCAAAUUCAUUCACUUUAUUUUACCAUAGCCUAAAAUUCUGUCAAUUAGAAAUU